rfam:Homo sapiens chromosome 7, GRCh38 reference primary assembly.
GCUGGGUGUGGUGGCGGGCGCCUGUAAUCCCAGCUACUCAGGAGGCUGAGGCAGGGGAAUAGUUUGAGCCCGGGAGACAGAGGUUGCAGUGAGCUGAGACUGAGCCACUGCACUCUAGCCUGGGCAACAGAGCAAGACUCUGUCUCAA